rnacentral:tRNA from 1 species
GCGGAUGUAGUUUAGUGGUAAAACUACAGCCUUCCAAGCUGUUGUCGCGAGUUCGAUUCUCGUCACCCGCU